GGCGAUUCUUGGGUGAUACACCCCAGGAUCUGGAUCCCUCCUCUCUGGUUCUGGGUGCGUCACCUGAGAACUGCA
rfam:Myotis davidii contig162418, whole genome shotgun sequence.